rnacentral:lncRNA from 1 species
CCUUUGACAAAUAGAGUUGAAAAAUGGAAACAAUCUGAGUGUUUAUAGGUAACAGGAGAUAUUUUUCCCCACCAGGACUAAGAGUGUACAAAAGGCAAUAAGCAGUGAUUUUAUGAGCAUUUAAAGAAACCGAGGGAACCACCGAAGCUUGAAAUCAUAGAAGUCUGGAGCCAAAAGAUGGUGGUUCAAGGCAGAGGAACACUGCAGCUUGGAGCUGAAGAGGCAUUUUCUAGGAGCUGCGCGCCUGCCUGAAGAAAGUAAAGCAUAAGCUAGACUCCUUCUCCCACAAAAAUAACCCAGACCUUUGGUGCCAAAGGAUCGGCAAAGCCAAGGGUUACACUGACCUGUUUAGAUUUUUUCCCCUUCGUUUUCCACUGCGAUGACAUCGUUCUAAAGACUUAUGACUUUCCAGGAAGAAGGGAUUUCAGACACAGGCUAGGCCCAGAGCCCAAGCACCUGAAGAAUGAGCAGAGUUCCUUUGAGCACAGAAACAUGCCAGAGAGAAAGAAGACAAAAGGUGACCUCAUUUCUCCUGAUUACAGAGAUGUGGGAAGAAAGGGCGGUAACCUCUUAAAUUUUUUAAAAAGAUCGUUCCCAAUUGAAGCAGCCUAUGUUUAGAA